rnacentral:rRNA from 1 species
GGACCUCACUGCUAUCGGGGUGAGACUAAGCAAUGCAAGUCGCGCGUCUCAAGCUAUGAUGAGACGCGGCGUACGGCUCAGUAACACGUGGCCAACCUACCCUUAGGACGGGAACAACCCCGGGAAACUGGGGCUAAUUCCCGAUAGGCGAGGAGGCCUGGAAUGGUUCUUCACCUAAAGGGCGUCGGAGUCAUGCUUUCCGGCGUCGCCUAAGGAUGGGGCCGCGACCGAUCAGGUUGUUGGUGGGGUAAUGGCCUACCAAGCCUUUAACCGGUACGGGCCAUGAGAGUGGUAGCCCGGAGAUGGGCACUGAGAUAAGGGCCCAGGCCCUACGGGGCGCAGCAUGCGCGAAAACUCCGCAAUGCGCGAAAGCGUGACGGGGUUAUCCCGAGUGCCGUCCGCUGAGGAUGGCUUUUCUCUGGUGUAAAGCGCCGGAGGAAUAAGAGGAGGGCAAGACUGGUGUCAGCCGCCGCGGUAAUACCAGCUCCUCGAGUGGUGGGGACGAUUAUUGGGCUUAAAGCGUCCGUAGCCGGCUUGGCAAGUCUUUCGUUAAAUCCAGCGGCUUAACCGUUGGGCUGCGGGAGAUACUGUCAGGCUAGGGGGCGGAAGAGGCCGACGGUAUUCUCGGGGUAGGGGUGAAAUCCUAUAAUCCUGAGAGGACCACCAGUGGCGAANGCGGU